CCUACGGGUGGCUGCAGUCGAGGAUCUUCGGCAAUGGGCGAAAGCCUGACCGAGCGACGCCGCGUGUGGGAUGAAGGCCUUCGGGUUGUAAACCACUGUCGUAGAGGAGGCCUAUUCUAGGAGGAAGUCAGGGCUAAGUUCGUGCCAGCAGCCGCGGUAAGACGAACCUGACAAACGUUAUUCGGAAUUACUGGGCUUAAAGGGUGCGUAGGCGGCGUGGCAAGUUGGGUGUGAAAUCCCUCGGCUCAACCGAGGAACUGCGCUCAAUACUGCCAUGCUCGAGGGAGACAGAGGUGAGCGGAACUUAGGGUGGAGCGGUGAAAUGCGUUGAUAUCCUAAGGAACACCGGUAGCGAAAGCGGCUCACUGGGUUUUCUGACGCUGAGGCACGAAAGCUAGGGUAGCGAACGGGAUUAGAUACCCUUGUAGUC
rnacentral:rRNA from 1 species